rnacentral:rRNA from 1 species
UACGUAGGUGGCGAGCGUUAUCCGGAUUUAUUGGGUUUAAAGGGUGCGUAGGCGGAUUUUUAAGUCAGCGGUAAAAUGUCCGGGCUCAACCCGGGCCGGCCGUUGAAACUGGGGAUCUUGAGUGGGCGAGAAGUAUGCGGAAUGCGUGGUGUAGCGGUGAAAUGCAUAGAUAUCACGCAGAACUCCGAUUGCGAAGGCAGCAUACCGGCGCCCGACUGACGCUGAGGCACGAAAGCGUGGGGAUCGAACAGG